rnacentral:rRNA from 1 species
GACGAACGCUGGCGGCGUGCUUAACACAUGCAAGUCGAACGGAAAGGCCCCUUUUGGGGUACUCGAGUGGCGAACGGGUGAGUAACACGUGAGUAACCUUCCCUUGACUUCGGGAUAACUUCAGGAAACUGGGGCCAAUACCGGCUAGGAAUCCUUGCUGCAUGGUGGGGGUUGGUAAGCUUCGGCGGUUUUGGAUGGACUUGCGGCUUAUCAGCUUGUUGGUGGGGUAGUGGCUUACCAAGGCGUUGACGGGUAGCCGGCCUGAGAGGGCGACCGGCCACACUGGGACUGAGAGACGGCCCAGACUCCUACGGGAGGCAGCAGUGGGGAAUAUUGAACAAUGGGCGGAAGCCUGAUGCAGCAACGCCGCGUGCGGGAUGACGGCCUUCGGGUUGAAAACCGCUUUCAGCAGGGGCGAAGCUUGUGGUGACGGUACCUGCAGAAGAAGCACCGGCUAACUACGUG